ACGCUGGCGGCAUGCUUUACACAUGCAAGUCGGACGGCAGCACAGAGAAGCUUGCUUCUUGGGUGGCGAGUGGCGAACGGGUGAGUAAUAUAUCGGAACGUACCGAGUAAUGGGGGAUAACUAAUCGAAAGAUUAGCUAAUACCGCAUAUUCUCUGAGGAGGAAAGCAGGGGACCUUCGGGCCUUGCGUUAUUCGAGCGACCGAUAUCUGAUUAGCUAGUUGGUGGGGUAAAGGCCUACCAAGGCGACGAUCAGUAGCGGGUCUGAGAGGAUGAUCCGCCACACUGGGACUGAGACACGGCCCAGACUCCUACGGGAGGCAGCAGUGGGGAAUUUUGGACAAUGGGCGCAAGCCUGAUCCAGCCAUGCCGCGUGUCUGAAGAAGGCCUUCGGGUUGUAAAGGACUUUUGUCAGGGAAGAAAAGGCUGUUGCUAAUACCGACAGCUGAUGACGGUACCUGAAGAAUAAGCACCGGCUAACUACGUGCCAGCAGCCGCGGUAAUACGUAGGGUGCGAGCGUUAAUCGGAAUUACUGGGCGUAAAGCGAGCGCAGACGGUUACUUAAGCAGGAUGUGAAAUCCCGGGCUCAACCUGGGAACUGCGUUCUGAACUGGGUGACUAGAGUGUGUCAGAGGGAGGUAGAAUUCCACGUGUAGCAGUGAAAUGCGUAGAGAUGUGGAGGAAUACCGAUGGCGAAGGCAGCCUCCUGGGAUAACACUGACGUUCAUGCUCGAAAGCGUGGGUAGCAAACAGGAUUAGAUACCCUGGUAGUCCACGCCCUAAACGAUGUCAAUUAGCUGUUGGGCAACUUGAUUGCUUAGUAGCGUAGCUAACGCGUGAAAUUGACCGCCUGGGGAGUACGGUCGCAAGAUUAAAACUCAAACGAAUUGACGGGGACCCGCACAAGCGGUGGAUGAUG
rnacentral:rRNA from 1 species